GCCCGGGUGGUGGAAUUGGUAGACACGCAUGGUUCAGGGCCAUGUGAUCGCAAGGUCGUGAGAGUUCGAGUCUCUCCCCGGGCA
rnacentral:tRNA from 1 species